GAUGAACGCUGGCGGCGUGCCUAAUACAUGCAAGUCGAGCGAACGGACGAGAAGCUUGCUUCUCUGAUGUUAGCGGCGGACGGGUGAGUAACACGUGGAUCACCUACCUAUAAGACUGGGAUAACUUCGGGACACCGGAGCUAAUACCGGAUAAUAUUUUGAACCGCAUGGUUCAAUAGUGAAAUACGGUCUUGCUGUCACUUAUAGCUGGAUCCGCGCUGCAUUAGCUAGUUGGUAAGGUAACGGCUUACCAAGGCAACGAUGCAUAGCCGACCUGAGAGGGUGAUCGGCCACACUGGAACUGAGACACGGUCCAGACUACUACGGGAGGCAGCAGUAGGGAAUCUGACGCAAUGGGCGAAAGCAUGACGGAGCAACGCCGCGUGAGUGAUGAAGGUCUUCGGAUCGUAAAGCUCUGUUAUUAGGGAAGAACAGAUGUGUAAGUAGAUGUGGACAUCUUGACGGUACCUAAUCAGAAAGCAACGGCUAACUACGUG
rnacentral:rRNA from 1 species